UACAGAGGUCUCAAGCGUUGUUCGGAUUCAUUGGGCGUAAAGGGUGCGUAGGCGGCGCGGUAAGUCGGGGUGUGAAAUCUCGGAGCUUAACUUCGAAACUGCAUUCGAUACUGCCGUGCUUGAGGACUGGAGAGGAGACUGGAAUUUACGGUGUAGCGGUGAAAUGCGUAGAUAUCGUAAGGAAGACCAGUGGCGAAGGCGGGUCUCUGGACAGUUCCUGACGCUGAGGCACGAAGGUCAGGGGAGCAAACGGG
rnacentral:rRNA from 1 species